rnacentral:rRNA from 1 species
UAUGGGCCGUACCUGCUUGUCAAAGCCUGCUUCUCUCAGACGUCAGAAGUGAAGCUGGGCUGGGCCUGGUUAGUACUUCAAUGGGAGACCGCUGGGAAUACCAGGAGCCACAGUAU